UCAGCGCUGGAAAAGCGUCGACAUUGCAAAUUAAAUGCAGACACAAACCAAAUAGAAAUUGCGCUAGAUUAAUACCAAACUGAGACAUGUUAACGAUCUCAGUUGAGCUAACAGGGCCGCAAAGAUUUAAGCCUAUCUUUGAACGGUAGUAAGCAGCUCGCACAAA